GGGGGGGGAUUUGAGCAAUAUCCAGGCAACCUGCCAAGAUGUUUUCCCAACCCCUGGAAAAGUGAACAAGAAAUAUGCUCUUCCCAGAAGUAGUUGCAGUUGGAAGCAUACCACAGAAGAAACAGAACUCACCUACCAAGGCACCUAACAAUGCAAAUGGAAAGAAAGAUUCUCUUUUAUAUUAUGCCAGAUGGAAGAGAUGGACAAGGCACACUUUAAAAGACCACAGUACAGAGACAGGAGGUGGGACUAAACAGAGUACCUAUUCAAGUUGUACAUAGAACCAUAGUCACUUGCAUGACAAUCUACUACUGUACAGUUUUACAGCAAGGAUGAUGGUGAUGGACAUAUGUAACAAAAUAAGAAAUAGACAUAAUUAAACAACCCCGUAUCACAGAUAUAAUAAAAUUACAAUACAUUGAAAUAAUAUAACCCUGAUCAAAAAGCAAUGCAAUACAGUUGUAGCUAUCUACAGUCUAUAAAAUAGGGUCCAAAGCCCACCCAGUGAAAUGCAAAGAAUAGCAAACUACUGAAACUGUUAAAGUAUUCACAAAAUAAAUGGGUAUAUGUAAAGCUAAAUAGAUAACUUUUUCCCAUGAUUCAUUGGGGGAAGACCAUACUGACUUGACAGACUUGAAAGCAACAAGUUUGCACAAGCUAUGAGAGAACAGGAAAAUUAAACUCAUUUAUUGAUAAAGUGCACAAGUUUAGACACACUGUAAAAGAAAGAAAAGCUAUAUUAGAAGCAGAAGAAAAAGUAUAAUUGAUGCAUGAAAAUAUGUACCCAAAUUGGAGAAACAGUACUUCAGGAUAACAACUUGGGGAAAAAAUGUAUUAAAAAAGAGGCAGAGAAGCUGUAAUAACUCUAAGUUUACUUUUUAAAGUAGGCAACAGGGAGCUAAUAAUUAUAAUAUAUAAAAUGCAAACUACAAUAUAAUUUCUGAACAAAGAAAAUACAAAUCGAUAAAUGCUGUGAAGAGUAAAGGUAUCACCACAUAUACGUUACUAUAACAAAAGCAGAACAUCAAACGUAGGUAAGCUGACAUCUACUGAAAUAAGUGCAAGCAACAUACAGGGCAUGCAGGAAAAGAAAAUGAUAAUAGGGUGAAAUACAUAAAAUAUUUAUCAUAUUCAGCAAUGCACAAAAUAGAUUAUAAUCACAGAAGCAGAGAAAUGCAAUGCUUGAAAAUGAAUGUAUUAUAUAAUAUUCAAAGAUGUGAAAGUGGAAUACUUGUGAAACACAAAGUUGUACACAUUGUAUGUGUUUCAUAAGGUUAUUAAAAUUAUUACUGAGUACAUACUGGUAAAAAAAGGAAAACAACAAGAAUCAUGCUUUACAAAGAAAAAAGACAAAAUGUAGAUGACACUUUCUAUAAUAGAUGAUCAAGGGAUAACCCUCUAUUCCCACCAGAUAGAAUGUUUUGGGUAAAGAUUUCAUCUUUGAAUGACUAAAUAAAAUUCAAACUAACACUUUAAAAAUCUAAUUUAAAUAGUUGAACCUAAACUUUGAGGAAAUAGUGGAGAACAUCUACACUGGAUUAGUUCUCACCUUUUCAAAAUAGCCUUUGUGGCACUAAAGUUUAGGAGAUGAAAAAAGACUGACCACUGGAGUAGACUAAAGAAAAGAGGAAGAUGCUGAAAAAUGAGAUAACUUCAAGUGACAUCACAUGUAUCUGUUGCUUGCAUAUGAUCAAGAAUAAGGAAAGUGCGGAACUUAGGGAAAGAGAGGUGUAGUUUAAUAAAUAGCUAUUAAAAAUUCUUGGAACAAGGAUUAUGGCUAUAACACCUUGUAAACUGAUCACCAGAUAAUAAGACAAAAUUAAAAUCUGUGUUUUACAUUUGCCUCAGUAUUACAAUACAUAUGUGAAAAAAAACUUAAAAUGCUCAAGUUAAAAAAAUAAAAAAUGAUUCAUCCUAAAGCACCAAGAGUAAAUUAAAAGAUUGGGGAGAUAAAAAUCUGAUAAUAUUUGAGCACAGAGGCCUAAAUGAUAUUGUUAUGGACACUUACAAACCCUGACAAAUACUCUGUUAAUUAUAUGAUCAUGCAUAUGCGUCUUGGGCUUGAGAUAAAUUGUUAUGAGAAAUAACUGCUGUUAAAUUGCACAUAUGUACAUAUACCCUAUAAACGCCACGCCACACUAAUAAAUUUCAUUAUUGUGUAUCACCUACCCCUGUUAACGCACUUAUUGCAGGCUCUGAACAUUGACUAGUGUAAAACUUUGCUUAGAAUGGAAAGCAAAAAUUGAUACAGUUAUUCCUAUAUUUGCAUAUCUGAAUAAUUAAAUUUCUCAUCAAUAAUAGGAAACUCAGUUGAAAUUUUAUUUCACUGGUUUAUGAUACUGAUAUCAGAUUUUUGUAGUGAAAGGCAAAAAUGCUAACAUUUUGUAAAAAUGUGUAAUUGUAGACUGACCAUUAUGCCAAUAGAUGCUCAAGUAUAUCAACUUUUUAAUAUUAUAAUGUCCCAGUGGAGGAUGUUAUUUUUAUUUAUUAAAAGGAAAGAGAUAAAUAGAUAAAGAAACAGAAGAUAUGUAAAUACCCUGGAAUGUAUGCAGUCAGUAGUUUAAAUAUCUGAUAACGGCACUUUUCAAAUUAGUUGCAUGUCAAGUGAAGCCAAAUACUUAUAUUAAAGCUGCCUCAUUAUAGUAAUCAGAAGUAAAUAUUUUGAA